rnacentral:rRNA from 1 species
GAUGAACGCUGGCGGUAUGCCUUACACAUGCAAGUCGUACGGGAGUUUUUAACUCAAGUGGCGGACGGGUGAGUAACACGUAAGAAUUUACCUUUAGGAGGGGGAUAACAACUGGAAACGGUUGCUAAUACCCCAUAUGCUUUCGAGUGAAAUGGAUUUCCGCCUAGAGAGAAGCUUGCGGCUGAUUAGCUUGUUGGUGAGGUAAUGGCUCACCAAGGCGACGAUCAGUAUCUGGUUUGAGAGGACGAUCAGACACACUGGAACUGAGACACGGUCCAGACUCCUACGGGAGGCAGCAGUGGGGAAUUUUCCGCAAUGGGCGAAAGCCUGACGGAGCAAUACCGCGUGAGGGAUGACGGCCUAUGGGUUGUAAACCUCUUUUUUCAGGGAGGAAUCAAUGACGUGUACCUGAAGAAUAAGCAUCGGCUAACUCCGUGCCAGCAGCCGCGGUAAGACGGAGGAUGCAAGUGUUAUCCGGAAUCACUGGGCGUAAAGCGUCUGUAGGUGGUUUAAUAAGUCAACUGUUAAAUCUUGAGGCUCAACCUCAAAAUCGCAGUCGAAACUAUUAGACUAGAGUAUAGUAGGGGUAAAGGGAAUUUCCAGUGGAGCGGUGAAAUGCGUAGAUAUUGGAAGGAACACCGAUGGCGAAGGCACUUUACUGGGCUAUUACUAACACUCAGAGACGAAAGCUAGGGUAGCAAAUGGGAUUAGAUACCCCAGUAGUCCUAGCUGUAAACAAUGGAUACUAGAUGUUGAACAGAUCGACCUGUGCAGUAUCAAAGCUAACGCGUUAAGUAUCC